UAGCUGUUUCAGGGUUUUCUAGAGAGAAGAUUCCGAUUCAACUUCUAGAGAGAGAAAUUCCGAAUCCCUUUCCUUAGUCGUCUGUGUUCUUUGCUUCUUCCCAGCUCUCUCCGAUCAUCAUCAUCUGCUCUGUUUACUUGUUUGGAUAUUCUGAAACGACGAAGAAACCGGUGCAAUUGGUCUCCGAUCAUUUACCCCUCGUCGCCUGACUCACACUGAGUUAGGGUUCCGCAACUCGGUAUUUUUUCGGAUGUGUUAGAGGGGAAGAGCAGAUCUUCUGGGAAGGACUUAUCAUGAGGUUUUUCUAGAGAGAGAAGAUUCCGACUCAACUUCUAGAGAGGGAAAUUCCUAAUCUCUUUUCUUCGUCGUCUGUGUUCUUUGCUUCUGCCCACUCCAUUUGGUCUCCGAUCUGUUACCCCUCGUCGCCUGACUCACGCUGAGUCAGGGUUCCACAACUCGGUAUUUUUUUCGGAUGAGUUAGAGGGGAAGAUUAGAACUUCUGGGAAGGACUUAUCAUGGAAAAGGUUUCAUUCUGAUUUGUCAUUUGUUGGUGGAGAUCCUUUCAUGGGAUCUCUAUUUCGACGUCUAGCCAUUUAUGGAACUUCUUGUUGAACUUAUUACUGUCAAAUCCAGUUCUUGAAGCUUUUGGCAACGCAAAAACUGUGAGGAAUACCAACUCUAGACAGCCCACUUAAAAAAAAAAAAUAAGGGUUCCCUGCAGCGAAAUAGGGUUUCUGAGCGUAAGGGUGCUGGUUCAGUCUUCAAGUCCCACCGCAAAUGUCCUGCGAAGUUCCGGAGCCUCGACUUCUGCGAGCGCAAUGGUUAUCUCAAGGGUGUCGUGACGGAGAUCAUCCACGAUCCAGGCCCUGGGGCUCCGCUCCCUCGUGUCGUUUUCCGACAUUCUUUCAGGUACAAGAAGCAGAAGGAACGCUUCGUUGCCGCCGAGGGUUGUUGGUGAUUUCAACAAUCGAUUUUCAUUGGAUAAUAAUGGAGAAGCUAAUCAAGAAUUUGAUUGCAAAACUGCUAUCGACAAGUUUUAUAAAACUUUGGAUAGAUUUGAAUCAAAUAUCUCAGUUUCGGAGCCUAGAGAAAUUGUUAGGUUCCGACACUGGUCUCCUGCAAUUCCAUUGGCGAUUAUAUCAGUUUAUAUGCUAAGUGCAAAACACAUCUAAUGAGGGAUCAUAUCCAGCAAGCAUUUUCUGUGAUACACGAGGGCUUUUAAGGUGAUAAACUUCGCCUCUACAAAGUUUGUAUAUUGUGGGUCUGAUCAAUUAUAUUCUAGUCGAGGUUGUAUAUGACCAACCCAAACAUGCAUUUUGCAUUCUCCACCUGCAGCAGAAAUAGGAAAGGACAUUAAAUGAUUUCUCUAGCAGCAGCAUACUAAAUUUAAAUUUGAUAGCUUACAAGUCUUUGUUCCAAGUAGCCUUUGCUUCUUCUUGAUUCUCUUCUCAAACUCAGCGCCUAGUUUCUUGUUGAGACGAACAAAUCUUUUUCUUUUCGCUAUGUUGUCCUGUUAUGCAAGUAAAUACUGGUGAGGCAUAAGAUCAAAGCCAGCUUAUGGAAGAUGAGUUCAAACGAUCAAGCAACAAAGAAGGGCUCAUAACAUCAUUCAAGGGAGCACGAGAAGACUUGCACGUGAGCCUGAAGAUGAUUGGCAAAGUUUGUUUAUUGACAACGGAGUGAUCAUCGACACAUAAAAGCAAUUCUAUGGGCAGAAUAUGAGCAAUUACGCCCCCACACCACCGACAACACGAUCAUUGCCGAACGCAAAGAACAAGACAAGGUAUUCUCUGUUUUAUCUUUGCUUGGAUGGCACUUACAACGAUUUGGUUUACCAUGUCCUUCAGUAGACUAUGCUCCCUUCUAUGGACGAGGUUUUCAUGCUGAUCCAAAGAGAGGAAGGUAGCCAUAAUUUGUUCAGUAGCCCUCUUCCCAGCAUCGAUAGGCAACACUGCAAAAAGACAGGUCAUGAUAGCAAGUGUUGGUUCUUACACCUCUGAAAUACAGAGGCAACACCUCUGGUUCGAAGUCUGCUGCAUUUCUAACACAAGAUAAUGUGGAGGCCCUCAUUCAUGCAUUAUGGUCCAUGAACAAAGGAAGUGGUACCGAACUUCUAAACUCUCUCAUUGUUGAUUCCGGUGUUACUAAUCAUAUGUUUUCAAAUUCGAAAUGGUUUACAGAACUGAUGCCAUUAGUACAGUCCCGGUUGCGAAUGGAAUGCAAAUACCGAUCGAAGGCCAAGACACCGUUGAGAUUUUUCAGAAAUUAAUCAAUGCUUUAUAUGUUCCUCAAUUUAAGACAAAUCUAUGAUAUGUUCCUAAAAUUACUAAAGAUUUAGACUGCUCUGUUACUUUCGAUACUAGUGGUGUUUGUUUUCAGGAUAUUUAAACUCGACAGACACUUGGACACGGGGUUCGCAAAAAUAAUAUACUUCUAUAAUCUAUAUAUUAGUAUGUUUACUAUUUG